GAUCAUGGCUCAGGAUGAACGCUAGCUACAGGCUUAACACAUGCAAGUCGAGGGGCAUCGGGGAGUAGCAAUACUCUGCCGGCGACCGGCGCACGGGUGAGUAACACGUAUCCAACCUGCCUUCAGCUCGGGGAUAGCCCUCUGAAAGGAGGAUUAAUACCCGAUGUGGUUGCUGGGAGACAUCUCUUUGCAAUUAAAGAUUUAUCGGCUGAUGAUGGGGAUGCGUAUGAUUAGCUUGUUGGCGGGUAACGGCCCACCAAGGCGACGAUCAUUAGGGGUUCUGAGAGGAAGGUCCCCCACAUAGGAACUGAGACACGGUCCUAACUCCUACGGGAGGCAGCAGUGAGGAAUAUUGGUCAAUGGACGCGAGUCUGAACCAGCCAAGUAGCGUGAAAAGGAUGACUGCCCUACGGGUUGUAAACUUCUUUUAUGGGAGGAUAAAGUGCGGCACGUGUGCCGUUUUGCAGGUAUCCCAUGAAUAAGCAUCGGCUAAUUCCGUGCCAGCCGCGGC
rnacentral:rRNA from 1 species